GUCUGUGCCCAAGCAGAGAAACACAGGUUCCUUUCCAGACAGAAGAGAAAGCAGCUAUUUACUUGUCUCCUAUGCAAAUUAAGCUGGUGCAAUCAAAACAAUGGAAGCCCUAUUUACAUAAUGGGAGACGGGAAGCCCACAGGAAGGGAAACUGGAUGAGGUCAUCCUGCUUCCUGAAACAACAUCAUUGAACACUGGAAGAUAUAAGCAAAGGCAGAAGCCACAUCUGGCAUCCAUUACAAGACAAGCACAAGGGAACACAGCUCUUGCAAGCUGAGGAAAAUGGGCUCUUCAACUAAGGGAGGUUCAAGGCUCUGCAAACUGAAUAUAGGAUUUGUUGGGAGACUGCGGGGGCAAGUCUUGUGAGUCCUUGCCCUGAAAGAAGGGUGACCCUUAAGAGGUCAUGGAGCCUGGGAAGAAUACAGGCACACAGUGGGCCCCGAAGGGUCUGUGGGAACAGCCUGUGGACAGGCUGAGGGAGGCAGAAGCCCAGGGUGCAAGCAGGAGGCCUGAAUAUGCAGACCUGGGUUGCUCACAACAGAGGAACUGGAAUGGAACCAGAGAAGAGGGAAGGCCUGGGUUUCCCUACUAGCCACUGGAAAAGGUGAUGCAAAGACCAUGGACACCAGGGGCGGAAGGACUAAGGAGUCUGGACUUGAUCAAAGACGCAACGUGAGGCUAUUGGACUUUUGUCUCGUUGGACUAAAAGUGACUUGGCCAGAGGGCUGAGUAGAAAGAAGAGGCUGAUGACCGCAGGGCUGGAGCAGCGGCCAUCAGGGGGCAUUAGAUGAGGAGAACCUGUUGCAUUGUGCCCAGCUAUGAGGAGGCACAUCAGCAGUGAGUCCACUCAAUGACACCUGUCCUCCAUUUUGGAUCUCUUUUCGCAAACAAACACUGCACCUGGUCCAGGGAGCAGCAAUAAGCACCUAAGGAAGGAAGCAAGGUCUGCACGAAAUAUGGCUGCCAAAGUAAUUUUUCUCACCUGCUACUAUGACGGUCUUAAUGGCUGUUUUAAAGUCCUUCACUGGCUCCAUAUUACUCUGCAUAUUAAGUUCAAACUUUUUUGCCAAUACCUUUGUAAUGAUACCUUCACUUGCAAUACCUUAAUCAUCCAUUAGAUGUCUCUGUGUGCUGCAUAGAAUUCCAGACAACCUGUGGUCCCUGGUAAACAAGGGAGACAAAGCUGGAGCUCAAGUUGCGUGGAAGCCUGUUUGUAGAUAUAAUUAGUUUCCUUAAUAAAAGCCUCCUGUUUAA